rnacentral:rRNA from 1 species
ACUACGGGAGGCAGCAGUGGGGAAUAUUGCACAAUGGGGGAAACCCUGAUGCAGCGACGCCGCGUGAGUGAAGAAGUAUUUCGGUAUGUAAAGCUCUAUCAGCAGGGAAGAAAAUGACGGUACCUGAUUAAGAAGCCCCGGCUAACUACGUGCCAGCAGCCGCGGUAAUACGGAGGGGGCAAGCGUUAUACGGAUUUACUGGGUGUAAAGGGCGCGUAGACGGCAGCACAAGUCUGGAGUGAAAUGCCGGGGCUUAACCCCGGAACUGCUUUGGAAACUGUGCAGCUAGAGUGCAGGAGAGGUAAGUGGAAUUCCUGGUGUAGCGGUGAAAUGCGUAGAUAUUAGGAGGAACACCAGUGGCGAAGGCGGCUUACUGGACUGUAACUGACGUUGAGGCUCGAAAGCGUGGGGAGCAAACAGGAUUAGAUACCCGAGUAGUC